GGAUUCGGUCGAAGGAUAAACCAAUCUGUUCUGUUGGGUUCCCUGUGCCCUUGUGCCUCUGUGGUGUACCGGAGACAACGGUUACAUUGUCCGUAUCACGAGCGUUCCCGCGAUCAUGUCGUGGAGGGCCUGUUUGCGCUCGGUGAAGCCGGCGAUGAUAAAGCCGAUAGUGAUUGUCAGCCAUGAGAUCCAUUUGGCGAAAUGUCUUCCAGUAGCGCGGCCGAACGAAAUUCGCCGGCCUUCCAGGUCUGUCACUUUGAGACCGAUAGCGCACAAGUA
rnacentral:rRNA from 1 species